rnacentral:lncRNA from 1 species
CCCGAGCUCUUUACAAGUCCUCAAAUUGUGCCCCCAUUGCAGAAAAUUACCACAUCUAAGCAUGGUGCCUCUUCUUCUAAUUCUAUUGUAGUCCAUAAGCUUAUCCUCUUUUUUUUUUGACUUCUUGGGCUUGCUUGGAAGUGUCUUUAGGAGGGGGAAUAAUAGUAGGAAACUCUAUUUCAUUGCAUGUGAAGGGCUGGCCGAAUUAUAUACACAUAUACCUUAAUAAAUACUAAUUUAGAAUACCAAUCACCAACAAAGUCCUUUCUUAUUUUUUGCAUAAACAUUGCUGCUACCACAACAUGGCAACAUGGGAUACUAGAAGGUCCUAUCUUAAACCCGCAUAUGAUCUUUUCCCUAAUUCAACUAUAUAUCUUAUAUAUGCAUACAAAAUUUCAAACUUGUCCCUCUCUCCAUAUGCAAUGAUAGUCUAUUGCUUCUAAUUUGGUUUUCUUUAGCUUCCUUUGAAUCUUAGGACAUAUACUUCAUCAUUUCCUUUCAAGCUAUCCCUCUUUGCUUGGAAUCUUUGCAUUAUUAAGCCCCUUAUUAUCUCUAACAGUAUAAUAGUAGGCUUGUCUCUAGCAUCAAUAAUGUAUUUAUUGAAUGAUACAAAAUAUUGUUCAAUAAAUUAUUGGACUUCAAUCAUGUAUCGAAUACUUACUGUGGCCGUAGUCUAGAUGGCUAUUUUCUCAACUAGCGAUGAGCUCUCUUAUGCAAGCUGGCAUUUCUUGCAUGACAACUUCAAAUUCUUAAGUAGUGGCUGCCCUAAUAUAUUUUCAUGGAGUCUCUCAAAUUCUCUUUGAAACUUACACUCUUAAAAUUUGAGUGCAGGUGCGUUACACAGAGUUUAUAAUCAAUAUUUGAUAGGAUAGGAUUGAAAUAUCUCUACCAGACCUUGCAUAAGAUAGAAGCAUAGUGAAAUCUAUACAAGAUUAUAUACUAUUCAAUCUAGACUCAGAAUUGAUAGUACUUAACUAGCGCUGCAUACUAUUUGCCUAUAAAUACAAAAGUCCAUUCAUGAUCUUCAAUUGGCCAAAUAUCAAUAAAUAGAUUUGUUGUGAUUCUAAUAAUGUGGAGGGCAUCAAUAGUCCCACAUCGGUUGUGAGUCAAGAGGGACUCACGCUUAUAAGGAGAAAAAAAUUCUUCCCACGUGAGGUGCCUUUUAAAAGACAAAAUCAUGAGGCCC